rnacentral:rRNA from 1 species
GAUGGACGCUGACAGAGUGCUUAACACAUGCAAGUCAACUGUGGAGGACAGGGGUGUAACGCGUAAAGAACUUGACCCACUAAUAGGGACAACACAUGGAAACGAAUGCUAAUACCUGAUACUGUGAGAGAGCUUUGCGUCCCAGUAGCUAGGUGGUGAGGUAACUUCUCACCAAGGCGAGGAUGGGUAGCAGGCCUGAGAGGGUGAUCGGCCACAAGGGGACUGAGACACGGCACUUACUCCUACGGGAGGAUGCAGUGGGGAAUAUUGGAGAAAGGACGAAAGUCUGAUCAAGUAAUUCUGUGGGCAAGAUGAAGUUUUCGGAAUGUAAAGUGCUUUCAGUUAGGAAGCGGUACCUACCGAAGAAGUGACGGCUAACUACGUGCCAGCAGCCGCGGUAAUUC